rnacentral:tRNA from 1 species
GCUGGUUUGGCUCAGUGGAUAGAGCAUCGGUCUGUGGACCGAAGGUUCCCAGGUUCAAUUCCUGUCAAGGGCA